rnacentral:ncRNA from 1 species
AAAAAGUUUUAUUUUGACUUUCAGUCUUUAUUUGUUGUUUAUUUACAUGUGUUGAUUAGUUUAAAUAGUACAUUGUGCAGUUUAUAGCUUUGAAAAAUUAUUAAUUUAAGUUUCAGUAAAUAAUUUAAGUUUUAAUUAAAUUUGUGCCAGCAAUUGCGGUUAUACAAAUAGUGCAAUAAAGAUUUUUUGGUUAGUAAUAAAUUAUUUAUUUAUAUAUGUAUAUUGAAAUUUUUAGGUGAAAUUUUAAUUUUAAUAUAAUUUUAUUUUUGUUUUUUGAUUUUACUAAAAUUUUAUUUAAACUAGGAUUAGAUACCCUAUUAUUAUAAAUUGUAAACUUAAUGCUUGAUUAUUAAUAGUUAUGUUCUUUAAAAUUAAAAAAUUUGGCGGUAUUUUAGUCUUUUCAGAGGAACCUGUCCUAUAAUUGAUAGUCCACGAUAAUUUUUACUUUUUCUUUAAGUUUGUAUAUCGUCGUUAUUAGAAUAUUUUUGGAAAAAAAGAAUUUUCAAUGUUUUUGAUUAUAAUUUAAUUCAGAUCAAGGUGUAGCUUAUGGGAAAGAAGAGAUGGGUUACAAUAAAUUUAUUUUUGGUGUAUUAUUUUAAAUUUUAAUAUUAAAUUGGAUUUGAAUGUAAUAAUAUCUAUUUUGUUGUUAUGAUUUUAGCUCUAGAAUAUGCACAUAUUGCCCGUCGCUCUCAUCUAAUGUGAGAUAAGUCGUAACAUAGUAGAUGUACUGGAAAGUGUAUCUAGAAUUAU